GCUGUGAUGGCCGAGUGGUUAAGGUGUUGGAUUUGAAAUCCAAUGGGGUCUCCCUGCGCAGGUUCGAACCCUGCUCGCAGUG
rnacentral:tRNA from 1 species